AACGACUUCUCGACUGUCUCAACCAUAGGCCCGGUGAAAUUGCACUACGAGUAAAGAUGCUCGUUUCGCGCAGCAGGACGGAAAGACCCCGGGACCUUUACUAUAGUUUGAUAUUGGUGUUCGGUUCGGCUUGUGUAGGAUAGGUGGGAGACUUUGAAGCGGCCACGCCAGUGGUUGUGGAGUCGUCGUUGAAAUACCACUCUGGUCGUGCUGGAUGUCUAACCUGGGUCCGUGAUCCGGAUCAGGGACAGUGUCUGAUGGGUAGUUUAACUGGGGCGGUUGCCUCCUAAAGAGUAACGGAGGCGCCCAAAGGUUCCCUCAGCCUGGUUGGCAAUCAGGUGUUGAGUGUAAGUGCACAAGGGAGCUUGACUGUGAGACCGACGGGUCGAGCAGGGACGAAAGUCGGGACUAGUGAUCCGGCAGUGGCUUGUGGAAGCGCUGUCGCUCAACGGAUAAAAGGUACCCCGGGGAUAACAGGCUGAUCUUCCCCAAGAGUCCAUAUCGACGGGAUGGUUUGGCACCUCGAUGUCGGCUCGUCGCAUCCUGGGGCUGGAGUCGGUCCCAAGGGUUGGGCUGUUCGCCCAUUAAAGCGGUACGCGAGCUGGGUUUAGAACGUCGUGAGACAGUUCGGUCCCUAUCCGCUGUGCGCGUAGGAAUAUUGAGAAGGGCUGUCCCUAGUACGAGAGGACCGGGACGGACGAACCUCUGGUGUGCCAGUUGUCCUGCCAAGGGCAUGGCUGGUUGGCUACGUUCGGAAAGGAUAACCGCUGAAAGCAUCUAAGCGGGAAGCCUGCUUCGAGAUGAGUAUUCCCACCCUCUUGAAGGGUUAAGGCUCCCAGUAGACGACUGGGUUGAUAGGCCAGAUGUGGAAGCCCGGUAACGGGUGGAGCUGACUGGUACUAAUAGGCCGAGGGCUUGUCCUCAGUUG
rnacentral:rRNA from 1 species